UGUCACCAUUUGUGACACUGACAUCCCUUAUCAGACUGCUGGUUUGAGUCCUGGCUGCCUUGGCUUCCCAUCCAGCUUCCUACUAAUGUGCCAGGGAAGGCAGUAGAAGACAGCCCCGCCAGCUGGUCCCCUGCACCUCAGGGUUCAGAAGAUAAGAGAACAUCUGAAAGUCAUCCGGAUAGGAGCCUUUAUUCCCAAGAGAUUACCAGAGAUCUACAGUGCUGCCUUAAUAACCUUACAGUCCACACAGCCAUCCUGAGAACGAGUCAUUGCCUGCUUUCCAUCUGAGUGCUUGAACUUUAAUAAGAACUUUAUUGUUUUCUGUGAGAAACUAUAAAAUCCGAAAAAUUCCUCAAAACUUCACACAUGGAGGCUGUUUCAGGAAAGCUUAUGCUGCAGCACUGUACUCCAGAGUGGAUUGUGUCACCACAAACAAGAAAAGGGGCAAGAAACCAGUUUGAAUCAGAGCUCAUUUUGCAGAGGAUAUCCAGGAAGGCUAACUUUGCAGUUUGGUACUCGGAGAUCAGCUAGACCACCACAAACAAGGAAAGCUCCAAGAAGCCAAUCUAAGUCAGAUUUUUGAACAUACGCUGAAGAAGGACCUGUGUUGUAAGAAGGAAGGGCCCUCUUACUGUUUUGGACAUCCAGGACACUCCCUUUACCCCAUAAAAGCCUUGUCAAACUGG